UGGGGAAUUUUGCACAAUGGAGGAAACUCUGAUGCAGCGACGCCGCGUGAGUGAUGAAGAUCUUCGGAUUGUAAAACUCUGUCCUUAGUGAAGAUAAUGACAGUGACUAAGAAGCAAGCCCUGGCUAAAUACGUGCCAGCAGCCGCGGUAAUACGUAUGGGGCAAGCGUUGUCCGGAAUUAUUGGGCGUAAAGGGUACGUAGGCGUUUUAAUAAGUCCUAAUUAAAAGGCUAUGGCUCAACCAUAGUAUGGUUAGGAAACUGUUGAACUUGAGUAGAUGAGGGAAAAGUGGAAUUCCAUGUGUAGCGGUGAAAUGCGUAGAUAUAUGGAGGAACACCAAUGGCGAAGGCAACUUUCUGGAAUCAAACUGACGCUGAGGUACGAAGGCGUGGGGAGCAAACAGG
rnacentral:rRNA from 1 species